rnacentral:rRNA from 1 species
AACGAACGCUGGCGGCGCGUUUUAAACAUGCAAGUCGAACGUGAAUCCCGAUGCUUGCAUUGGGAGGAAAGUGGCGAACGGGUGAGUAACACGUGGAUAAUCUACCUCUAGGAUUGGGAUAACUACUCGAAAGGGUAGCUAAUACCGGAUGAGAUGGUAGCUGCAUAAGCAGCAGCCAUUAAAGAUGGGGACCGUAAGGCCUAUCGCCAAGAGAUGAGUCUGCGUCCCAUUAGCCUGUUGGCGGGGUAACGCCCACCAAAGCUACUAUGGGUAGCCGGCCUGAGAGGGUGUCCGGCCACAUUGGGACUGAGAUACGGCCCAGACUCCUACGGGUGGCUG